GGCCGCCUGGCGUAAUGGCAACGCGUCUGACUACGAUAGGCGGUUCGAUCGUUUCGUUAUCAGGAGAUUGCAGGUUCGACCCCUGCGGUGGUCA